rnacentral:rRNA from 1 species
UAGAGGCACUGCCUGCCCAGUGACUUCAGUUCAACGGCCGCGGUAUCCUGACCGUGCAAAGGUAGCAUAAUCACUUGUUCCCUAAAUAGGGACUUGUAUGAAUGGCUCCACGAGGGUUUCGCUGUCUCUUGCUUCAAAUCAGUGAAAUUGACAUUCCCGUGAAGAGGCGGGAAUUCAAAAAUAAGACGAGAAGACCCUAUGGAGCUUUAAUUAACUAACUCACAUAAUUCACAACCAAUCCCUCUACAGAGGACAAAUUUACUUUAACUGAGUUAGAAAUUUGGGUUGGGGUGACCUCGGAAUAAAACUUAACCUCCGAGAAAAAUCAAUUAAGACCUACAAGUCAAAAUUAUGUAAUAAUACACUGAUCCGUCAACGACGAUCAACGAAACAAGUUACCCUAGGGAUAACAGCGCAAUCCUAUUUAAGAGUCCAUAUCGACAAUUAGGGUUUACGACCUCGAUGUUGGAUCAGGACAUCCCAAUGGUGCAGCAGCUAUUAAUGUGUUCGUUUGUUCAACGAUUAAAGUCCUACGUGAUCUGAGU